rnacentral:rRNA from 1 species
UACGGGGGGGGCAAGCGUUGUUCGGAAUUACUGGGCGUAAAGGCGCGUAGGCGGCCUUCUAAGUCAGACGUGAAAUCCCUCGGCUCAACCGAGGAACUGCGUCUGAUACUGGAAGGCUUGAAUCCGGGAGAGGGAUGUGGAAUUCCAGGUGUAGCGGUGAAAUGCGUAGAUAUCUGGAGGAACACCGGUGGCGAAGGCGGCAUCCUGGACCGGUAUUGACGCUGAGGCGCGAAAGCAUGGGGAGCGAACAGG